rnacentral:sRNA from 1 species
AGCAACUGUCAAUUUCUGGCUCGAGCGAUUCGAAAUACAAAGUAUGAAAAU